rnacentral:rRNA from 1 species
GUUUGAUUGAUGAUUCAUAAUAACUGUGCAAAUCGCGGGUCAAUACUUGCGAUGAUACAAACGAGUUUCUGACCGUAUCAACUUUAGAUGGCAGGAUAGGGGCUUGCCAUGGUGACAACGGGGUGACGGGGAAUUAGGGUUCGAUUCCGGAGAGGGAGCCUGAGAAACGGCUACCACUUCCAAGGAAGGCAGCAGGCGCGCAAAUUACCCAAUACUAAUUCGGUGAGGUAGUGACAAGAAAUAUCAAUAUAGGACCCAACGGGUACUAUGUUUGGAAUGAGUACAAUUUAAAACCUUAACAAGGAACAAUUGGAGGGCAAGUCUGGUGCCAGCAGCCGCGGUAAUUCCAGCUCCAAUAGUGUAUAUUAAAGUUGCUGCGGUUAAAAAGCUCGUAGUUGGAUUCGGAGUUGUUAUCUUAGGC